rnacentral:misc_RNA from 1 species
UGAGAGAAUGUACUGCAGCAAUGUCAUGUGUAAUAUUAUAUACGUUUGUGUGACAAGCCAUGUCCAAAACCAUGUAGUGAAAGUGAGCGAUUUCACACUUACUGUUUAUGUUAGAUAAGUCAAACCCAGAAACAUUUCAAAUGAUCGUUUGUUGUAUUUCAUUUUUUUUUAAUUCGACGUUCAUAUGUUUUUUUUUCUUGUUUAUGAAAGUUUAUUUGUUGCUGUUCUAUUGCACGACUUGUUACAGAGUUAUUUGAUGCUCACACAGGUGUUCGAUCGAACACCAGAUUAAUAUUUGAACAAUUUUAAUGCAUACUGAAUUUCUGGUUGAUAUAAUAUAAUCUAUGUCAUUGAUUUUUAGAUAACACUGUAUUCCACCGGCACUCAAAAAACGAUGUAUAGAGAAAAGACCAGGUGGAAAGUUUUACGUACGAGUUAUUACCCAGCAUUAAAUAAACCCGAACACCAAUUUAAUCAAAAUUCAUGAAAUAUCCUAAUCACACAAGUAUGUUUUUGGGUUUUUUUUCUCAAAAUGUUAUGUUAUUGUAAAGAAUUCGCCAUUAAAAAUUAAUUUAUCAAUUGAUAUGUUGAUUCAGCCUAGCUUCCAUUAUUAAAGACUUUCCGUCCAGAUUUUAGAAAGUGCCAGAAAUGCGUUAAGUCCUAGAAAGUUGAACUAGCUUAGUUUCAAAGUAAGAUCAAUAAUAUUGAUCGCCUUUUUUGUCAAGAAUGUAGAACACGUGUGAAUUAGACAUAUGUGUUUAAUUAACAUUGACCAGAAAGGUUAUUUUUAUACGAAGUACUUAUUAUUCACAAGUGAUAUCAUGAAUUCUAAUAUCCUGUUCAGUUGCAUUGGUUGCAUCAUAUGGACCAUGCUAAUAUUCUGUCAAAUGAUUUAUAUUGUAUCUUUAUACUUCUUGCUGUUUAACAAUGUUAUUUUCAUAUUAUUUUAUGAAUAAAUUAUUAAAUUU